rnacentral:rRNA from 1 species
UACAGAGGUCCCGAGCGUUGUUCGGAUUCACUGGGCGUAAAGGGUGCGUAGGUGGUGAGGUAAGUCGGAUGUGAAAUCUCCGGGCUCAACCCGGAAACUGCAUUGGAAACUACCUUGCUUGAGGAUUUGAGGGGGGAUUGGAAUACUUGGUGUAGCAGUGAAAUGCGUAGAGAUCGUAAGGAAGGCCAGUGGCGAAGGCGAGUUCCUGGACAGUUACUGACGCUGAGGCACGAAGGCCAGGGGAGCAAACGGG